rnacentral:rRNA from 1 species
CCUACGGGUGGCAGCAGUAGGGAAUAUUGGUCAAUGGCGGAAACUCUGAAGCAGCAACGCCGCGUGGAGGAUGAAGGCUCUCGGAGUGUUAACUCCUUUUUGUAGGGAAGAAAAUGACGGCACCUGUCGAAUAAGCACCGUCGAACUCCGUGCCGGCAGCCGUGGGAAUACGGAGGGUGCCAGCGUUACACGGAAUAACUGGUCGUUAAGGGGGUGUAUGCGGGAUAGUAAGUCAGAUGUGAAAUCCUAAGGUUUAACCAGAGAACUGCAUUUGAAACUGUUAUGCUAGAGUUUGGGAGAGGUAGGUGGAAUGCGUGGUGUAGCGGUGAAAUGCAUAGAGAUCAAGAAGAAUACUGAUUGCGAAGGCAGCCUACGAGGACGUAACUGACGCUGAUGCACGAAAGCGUGGGGAGCAAACAGGAUUAGAUACCCCAGUAGUC